GCCAUCUCGUUAGGGCCCGGUAAUAGGGUGUACCGGCCCAAAAAAUUCGGCCACUUUUAAACUCACAGCCCAGCCCAUGGUCUACUACAGCCCACACAAACCCCCCUGUGGUAUAAAAGCACGAAUUCAUCUCCUCCUAACCCUAAAAUUCACUUUUCCCGUCUCCAUCCGAUUGAGCGGCGGCUGUGGGCAACGAAACCCUAGCGAGUGAGGCGGGGGCGCGGUGCAGCGCCGCCUCCUCCCAUCCAGCUCGUCUCCCUCCCUCCCAAUCUCCUCCCUUGUCUCCCUCCCUCCCAAUCUCCUCCCUCCCAGUCUCUUUCCCGUCCAUGGACGGUGGUGGCAGCGCCAUGGAGCACGGCCGCACAACUUCGAUGUCGGGGCAGGUGGGCUCGGGCGUUGAACGGCUCCACGGGAGCAGCAGCAUGCGGCGCAUCCAGUCGGGCUUGGGUAGUGCCCCGGCGCCAGACGCACGCGCUGGUUUCCGGCAAGCUGGACAUGAUAUGGCGGUUUUGUGGCGACACACCUGCGGGACGCAACGGAGAUCGGGGCUCGGGUUUUCCUGCUGUUGCGCCUACGAGUAUUCCUUUGGCAAAUGUCUAGGAACCGACUCCCGACGUCCUUCAAUGUCGCUAAGCGAAACAGGCCCUCCUACGGUAAUUGUGCACUUUGUGAUGUGCAUGAGAAUGCCAAUCACGUCUUUUUUGGAUAUCCGUUAGCGCACUUCGUGUGGAGUGCAGUUCAUGAAGCCUCAGGGACGGAUUUGUUAUCUUUGCUGAAUCCAUUGCAUGGCGCGACUUGUUAUUAAUAUAAAGCCGGGCGCUUUUUA